UACGUAGGGUGCGAGCGUUAAUCGGAAUUACUGGGCGUAAAGCGUGCGCAGGCGGUUUGUUAAGACAGAUGUGAAGUCCCCGGGCUUAACCUGGGAACUGCAUUUGUGACUGGCAAGCUAGAGUAUGGCAGAGGGGGGUAGAAUUCCACGUGUAGCAGUGAAAUGCGUAGAGAUGUGGAGGAAUACCGAUGGCGAAGGCAGCCCCCUGGGCCAAUACUGACGCUCAUGCACGAAAGCGUGGGGAGCAAACAGG
rnacentral:rRNA from 1 species